GUCCAGGGGCGGGAAUCGAACCCAUAACCUUCCGCUUACCGGGCAGAUGCCAUGUCCACUAGGCUACCCUGGA